rnacentral:rRNA from 1 species
GACGAACGCUGGCGGCGUGCUUAACACAUGCAAGUCGAACGGAAAGGCCCUGCUUUUGUGGGGUGCUCGAGUGGCGAACGGGUGAGUAACACGUGAGUAACCUGCCCUUGACUUUGGGAUAACUUCAGGAAGCUGGGGCUAAUACCGGAUAGGAGCUCCUGCUGCAUGGUGGGGGUUGGAAAGUUUCGGCGGUUGGGGAUGGACUCGCGGCUUAUCAGCUUGUUGGUGGGGUAGUGGCUUACCAAGGCUUUGACGGGUAGCCGGCCUGAGAAGGUGACCGGCCACAUUGGGACUGAGAUACGGCCCAGACUCCUACGGGAGGCAGCAGUGGGGAAUAUUGCACAAUGGGCGGAAGCCUGAUGCAGCAACGCCGCGUGCGGGAUGACGGCCUUCGGGUUGUAAACCGCUUUCGCCUGUGACGAAGCGUGAGUGACGGUAAUGGGUAAAGAAGCACCGGCUAACUACGUG